rnacentral:snoRNA from 1 species
UCAAAGUAUAAACACCAUAAAAGACAUACACACAUUCACAUGGCACAAAGGAGCACGGCGUAUGGAUGUGAUGGUAUAGAAUCCUGUCCCACGACAUUGGGGAUGAGCUCGUCCCCAGGCGUGGGACUGUCGUGGGCAUGCUCUGUAUAUUCCUUAUCUUAGUACCUGUUUGCUGAGGAAAAACCAUACAGGGCACAAUU